rnacentral:rRNA from 1 species
GUAACAAGGUUUCCGUAGGUGAACCUGCGGAAGGAUCAUUACAGUAUUCUUUUGCCAGCGCUUAACUGCGCGGCGAAAAACCUUACACACAGUGUCUUUUUGAUACAGAACUCUUGCUUUGGUUUGGCCUAGAGAUAGGUUGGGCCAGAGGUUUAACAAAACACAAUUUAAUUAUUUUUACAGUUAGUCAAAUUUUGAAUUAAUCUUCAAAACUUUCAACAACGGAUCUCUUGGUUCUCGCAUCGAUGAAGAACGCAGCGAAAUGCGAUAAGUAAUAUGAAUUGCAGAUUUUCGUGAAUCAUCGAAUCUUUGAACGCACAUUGCGCCCUCUGGUAUUCCAGAGGGCAUGCCUGUUUGAGCGUCAUUUCUCUCUCAAACCCCCGGGUUUGGUAUUGAGUGAUACUCUUAGUCGGACUAGGCGUUUGCUUGAAAAGUAUUGGCAUGGGUAGUACUGGAUAGUGCUGUCGACCUCUCAAUGUAUUAGGUUUAUCCAACUCGUUGAAUGGUGUGGCGGGAUAUUUCUGGUAUUGUUGGCCCGGCCUUACAACAACCAAACAAGUUUGACCUCAAAUCAGGUAGGAAUACCCGCUGAACUUAAGCAUAUCAAUA